rnacentral:rRNA from 1 species
AACGAACGCUGGCCGCAUGCCUAACACAUGCAAGUCGAACGAGACCUUCGGGUCUAGUGGCGCCCGGGUGCGUAACGCUUGGGAACCUGCCCUUAGGUUCGGAAUAACUCCCCGAAAGGGGUGCUAAUACCGGAUAAUGUCUCCGGACCAAAGAUUUAUCGCCUUUGGAUGGGCCCGCGUUGGAUUAGCUAGUUGGUAGGGUAAAAGCCUACCAAGGCGACGAUCCAUAGCUGGUCUGAGAGGAUGAUCAGCCACGCUGGGACUGAGACACGGCCCAGACUCCUACGGGAGGCAGCAGUGGGGAAUAUUGGACAAUGGGCGAAAGCCUGAUACAGCAAUGCCGCGUGAGAGAUGAAGGCCUUAGGGUUGUAAAGCUCUUUUAGCCGGGAUGAUAAUGACGGUACCGGGAGAAUGCGCUCCGGCUGAGUCCGUG